rnacentral:rRNA from 1 species
GCAGUCGACGCUUCUUUCCUCCCGAGUGCUUGCACUCAAUUGGAAAGAGGAGUGGCGGACGGGUGAGUAACACGUGGGUAACCUACCCAUCAGAGGGGGAUAACACUUGGAAACAGGUGCUAAUACCGCAUAACAGUUUAUGCCGCAUGGCAUAAGAGUGAAAGGCGCUCUCGGGUGUCGCUGAUGGAUGGACCCGCGGUGCAUUAGCUAGUUGGUGAGGUAACGGCUCACCAAGGCCACGAUGCAUAGCCGACCUGAGAGGGUGAUCGGCCACACUGGGACUGAGACACGGCCCAGACUCCUACGGGAGGCAGCAGUAGGGAAUCUUCGGCAAUGGACGAAAGUCUGACCGAGCAACGCCGCGUGAGUGAAGAAGGUUUUCGGAUCGUAAAACUCUGUUGUUAGAGAAGAACAAGGACGUUAGUAACUGAACGUCCCCUGACGGUAUCUAACCAGAAAGCCACGGCUAACUACGUGCCAGCAGCCGCGGUAAUACGUAGGUGGCAAGCGUUGUCCGGAUUUAUUGGGCGUAAAGCGAGCGCAGGCGGUUUCUUAAGUCUGAUGUGAAAGCCCCCGGCUCAACCGGGGAGGGUCAUUGGAAACUGGGAGACUUGAGUGCAGAAGAGGAGAGUGGAAUUCCAUGUGUAGCGGUGAAAUGCGUAGAUAUAUGGAGGAACACCAGUGGCGAAGGCGGCUCUCUGGUCUGUAACUGACGCUGAGGCUCGAAAGCGUGGGGAGCAAA